rfam:Rattus norvegicus chromosome 20, whole genome shotgun sequence.
GGGGAUUUAGCUCAGUGGUAGAGUGCUUGCCUAGCAAGCGCAAGGCCCUGGGUUCGAUCCCCAGCUCCG